UACGAAGGGGGCUAGCGUUGCUCGGAAUCACUGGGCGUAAAGCGCGCGUAGGCGGAUCGUUAAGUCGGGGGUGAAAUCCUGGAGCUCAACUCCAGAACUGCCUUUGAUACUGGCGACCUAGAGUCCGGAAGAGGUGAGUGGAACUCCUAGUGUAGAGGUGGAAUUCGUAGAUAUUAGGAAGAACACCAGUGGCGAAGGCGGCUCACUGGUCCGGUACUGACGCUGAGGUGCGAAAGCGUGGGGAGCAAACAGG
rnacentral:rRNA from 1 species